CCCUUAGAUGUCCUGGGCCGCACGCGCGCUACACUGAUGCAUGCAACGAGUUUAUAACCUUGGCCUGAAAGGUCUGGGUAAUCUUUUGAACGUGCAUCGUGAUAGGGAUAGAUUAUUGCAAUUGUUAAUCUUGAACGAGGAAUUCCUAGUAAACGCGAGUCAUCAGCUCGCAUUGAUUGCGUCCCUGCCCUUUGUACACACCGCCCGUCGCACCUACCGAUUGAAUGGUUCGGUGAAGAUCUCGGACUUCGAUAUUUAUUCUUUAUUGAGUUUAUAUUGUGGGAAGUUAUCUAAACCUCAUCAUUUAGAGGAAGGUGAAGUCGUAACA
rnacentral:rRNA from 1 species